rnacentral:rRNA from 1 species
UGGGGAAUAUUGCACAAUGGGCGCAAGCCUGAUGCAGCCAUGCCGCGUGUAUGAAGAAGGCCUUCGGGUUGUAAAGUACUUUCAGUCGGGAGGAAGGUGGUAAGGUUAAUAACCUUAUCAAUUGACGUUACCAACAGAAGAAGCACCGGCUAACUCCGUGCCAGCAGCCGCGGUAAUACGGAGGGUGCAAGCGUUAAUCGGAAUUACUGGGCGUAAAGCGCACGCAGGCGGUUGAUUGAGUCAGAUGUGAAAUCCCCGGGCUUAACCCGGGAAUUGCAUCUGAUACUGGUCAGCUAGAGUCUUGUAGAGGGGGGUAGAAUUCCAUGUGUAGCGGUGAAAUGCGUAGAGAUGUGGAGGAAUACCGGUGGCGAAGGCGGCCCCCUGGACAAAGACUGACGCUCAGGUGCGAAAGCGUGGGGAGCAAACAGG